UUACCAAAAACAUAGCUCUUUAAAAUAUUAAAAGUGAAACCUGCCCAAUGAUAUAAAAAUAAUUAUAAUCUAAUUUAAAUAAUAUUAAAUGGAUGCAGUAACUCUGACUGUAAUAAAGUAGCAUAAUUAGUUGUCAUUUAAUUGAUGGAGAGAAUGAAUGGUUACACGAAUUUUUCACUGUCUUAAAAAAAAUUUUUUAAAAUUGAAAUAAUAGUUAAGAUGCUAUUUAAAAUUGUAAGACGAAGAGACCCUAUAGAGCUUUACUAUAAAUUUUUUUUUCAAAGAAUAAUAAAAAAUUAUUAAAAUUAGAAAAUUUGGUAGUUUAGUUGGGGCGACUGUUUUUUAAAAAUAACAAAAAUAAGCAAUAUAAUAAAUUUAUUUAUUGUAUAAUUAAACAAUUUAACAAUUACUAUAGUAGGCUAUAAUGACCCGUUAUUAUAAUAAACAAUAAAUAACGAUUAAUUAAUAAAAGCUACCUUAGGGAUAACAGGAUAAUUUUGUUUUAGAGUCCUUAUCAAAAACAAAGUUUGUCACCUCUAUGUUGAAUUAAGAUAUCCUAAUAAUGCAGUAGUUAUUAAGGGUAGGUCUGUUCGACCUUUAAAAUCUUACAUGAUUUGAGUUC
rnacentral:rRNA from 1 species